AGUGAACGCUGCCGGUAGGCCUAACACAUGCAAGUCGAACUGCAGCACAGUAAGUGCUUGCUCUUACGUGUGGCGAGUGGCGGACGGGUGCGGAAAACAUCUUAAUUUACUUUUUCGUGGGUUAUAACGUUGCUAACCUUACGCUCAUAUCGCAUCCGCCCUCCGGGUUUAUACUGCGGAUCUUCGGACCUUGCGCUCCUGAAUGCUCCGAUGUCGGAUUAGCUAGUUGGCGGGGUAUAGGCCCACCAAGGCGACGAUCCGUAGCUGGUCUGAGAGGAUGAUCAGCCACACUGGAACUGAGACACGGUCCAGACUCCUACGGGAGGCAGCAGUGGGGAAUAUUGGACAAUGGGCGCAAGCCUGAUCCAGCCAUACCGCGUGGGUGAAGAAGGCCUUCGGGUUGUAAAGCCCUUUUGUUGGGAAAGAAAAGCAGCAGGUUAAUACCCCGCUGUUCUGACGGUACCCAAAGAAUAAGCACCGGCUAACUUCGUG
rnacentral:rRNA from 1 species